rnacentral:rRNA from 1 species
UACGAAGGGUGCAAACGUUGCUCGGAAUUAUUGGGCGUAAAGCGCACGUAGGCGGCUUUGCAAGUCGGAUGUGAAAUCCCUCGGCUUAACCAAGGAAGUGCAUCCGAAACUGCAGAGCUUGAGUACUUAAGAGGAUCGCGGAAUUCCCGGUGUAGAGGUGAAAUGCGCAGAUAUCAGGAGGAACACCAAUGGCGAAGGCAGCUCGCUGGGACGUGACUGACGCUGAGACGCGAAAGCGUGGGAGCAAACAGG